GGAUUAGAUACCCUGGUAGUCCACGCUGUAAACGAUGAAGACUAGAUGUACGAGGAGUUGACCCCUCGUGUGUCGCAGCUAACGCAUUAAGUCUUCCGCCUGGGGAGUACGGUCGCAAGACUAAAACUCAAAGGAAUUGACGGGGGCCCGCACAAGCGGUGGAACAUGUGGUUUAAUUCGACGCAACGCGAAGAACCUUACCUGGGUUUGACAUCCUGUGCUACUUUUAGAGAUAGAAGGUUCUCUUCGGAGACACAGUGACAGGUGCUGCAUGGCUGUCGUCAGCUCGUGCCG
rnacentral:rRNA from 1 species